rnacentral:rRNA from 1 species
AUUGAACGCUGGCGGCAGGCCUAACACAUGCAAGUCGAACGAGUGGCGGACGGGUGCGUAAUGUCUGGGAAACUGCCUGAUGGCGGGGGAUAACUACUGGAAACGGUAGCUAAUACCGCAUACCAUAGGUUGUGCGCUGAUGGAAUUAGCUAGUAGGUGGGGUAAAGUCUGACCUAGGCGACGCUCCCUAGCGGGUCUGAGAGGAUGACCAGCAACACUGGAACGGGGACACGGCCCAAACUCCUACGGGAGGCAGCAGUGGGGAAUAUUGCACAAUGGGGGCAAGCCGGAUGCAGCCAGGCCGCGGGGAUGAAGAAGGCCUUCGGGUGGUAAAGUACUUUCAGAAGGGAGGCGUUACCCGCAGAAGAAGCACCGGCUAACUCCGUGCCAGCAGCCGCGGUAAUAC